ensembl:lncRNA
CAAACUGACAUCACUUCAAUGUAUAGCGGGGAAAAAAACUAUAAAAUCUAUUAUGGGAUAUUCUUCUGAGAACUUGUUCUGUCCGACAGUGUAAUUUUUGCACAAUGACGUUCCCUUAAGCCGGGUGCACACUGCGCUAUUUUUAAUAGUCCUUUGUAACUGUUGCUUGUCAGACUGUACGAGCACGAUCCCCACUGUAAGCCAUGUCACACUGUCGGAUCAGUUGUCAUUAAUGUCAGACUGUACGACAGUCAAGACAUGAAAAACGGACGCAGGCAAGAAAACUCGUAUGGAGUAGGAGAAGCAACACUACAGGACUGUGCCUCAAAUCUUCGGACACUGCCAGAAUUUAAUCGGAGGAAAAAUUUGAUCGCAAAGGCCAUUAAUCGGCUGACGGGGAACGCGUCAAACUAGUGAUCAAAGACUACUGAUUUUGGCCUAGGAUUAUAGGAAUCUUUUAGGAUCUCAAAAUUUCAGACAACCAAACCAUGGCCAAAAUUGCACAGUGUGAACCCGGCUUUAAUUGUUUCCACUGACCAACUUUACAGGGAAAAGGGUCACGGGGAACCUGGAGCCUAUCCCAGGGAGAAUCGGGCACAAGGCUGAAAAAGGUGCACCAACUGUGGAAGACCUCCUACAUUGUUCCGGUGCCCAAGAAAGGUCAUCCCAGUACCUCAAAUAACUACAGACCUGUGGUGCUGACCUCACAUGUCAUGAAGACCUUUGAGAGACUGGUCCUGAGGCACCUGAACCUGAUCUUAAGUGACUCCCUUGAUCCACUGCAGUUUGCAUACCAGACCCAAAUCAGCGUGGAUGAGGCAAUCAUCUAUCUACUGCAUAGGGCUUACUCAUACCUAGAGAGGCCAGGAAGCACAUUGAGAAUCAUGUUUUACGAUUUUUUUUACUGCAUUUAACACCAUCCGGCCCCCGUUGCUUGCAGAAAAGCUCUGGAACAAAUGGGUAGAGCACGAUAUGGUGGCUUGGAUCAUGGACUAUCUCACCAGAAGACCACAGUAGGUCUGACUGCAGGGCAGCCUGUCAGAUGUAGUGAUGUGCAACACCGGCGCACCUCAAGGAACUGUGCUUUCACCUUUUCUUUUCACCAUAUACACCUCUGACUUUAACUCUGACUACAACUCUGGAACAUGCCACCUCCAGAGAUUCUCUGAUGACUCCUCCAUCGUGGGCUGCAUCAGUGAAGAGAAGGAGGAGGAGUACAGAGGCGUAGUGGAGAGCUUCCUCAGAUGGUCUGUGGAUAACCAUCUUCAGCUCAACAUCAGCAAGACCAAAGAACUGAUAGUGGACUUCUGCCGAAACAGAAAGCCCCCAACACCUAUUACCAUCCAGGGGGAGAAAAUAGAGAUGGUGGACUCGUACCAGUUCCUGGGAGUGCACAUCAACAGCAAGCUGGACUGGUCGGAAAACACCAAAGUUCUCUACCGGAAGGGACAGAGCAGACUGUUUCUUCUAAGGAGGUUCAGGUCGUUUGAUGUGUGCAGCAAGCGAUUGCAGAUGUUCUAUCAGUCUGUAGUAGCCUGUGCCCUGUUCUUUGCUGUGACAUGCUGGGGAGGUGGAGUUAAGGCUUGGAAGGCUGACAAACUCAACAAGUUGGUGAAGAAGUCCAGCUCUGUUGUUGGUCACAAACUGGACAAUCUGUAGACUCUGGUGGAGAAGAAAAUGAGAAAUAAAUUCAGGUCCAUUUUGGGAAACCCCUUUCAUCCACUGUAUGCUGAGCUGCAGCAGAUGGAGAGCACCUUCAGCCACAGGCUCAUCCCCCAAAGUGUAAGACAGAACGCUUCAGAUGUUCCUUUGUGCCGACAGCCAUUGGACUGUACAACAACUAGCCACCCCCUCCUUUGACCUUUCUUUUGACUACACUACAAAUACGCUAUUACAGUGUUGUAAUAUGGGUAUCAUACUGUAUUUUUUGCACUGCUCACACACCACAUCACUGCUUCAAAGCUACUGCUAUAUGUCUAUACUGGUUAUACUGUACAGCUGCAAUAUGUAUAUAGUUUUGUGUACACUGUACAUAUGCGAUAUGUACAUGAGCUAUUUGUAUAUUGGGACUGUACAUUGUUGCUUGAUGUAUAUACUGCUCAUAUGUAUGUGUGUGUGUGUGUGUGUGUGUG